UACGUAGGUGGCAAGCGUUAUCCGGAUUUAUUGGGCGUAAAGGGAACGCAGGCGGUCUUUUAAGUCUGAUGUGAAAGCCUUCGGCUUAGCCGGAGUAGUGCAUUGGAAACUGGGAGACUUGAGUGCAGAAGAGGAGAGUGGAAUUCCAUGUGUAGCGGUGAAAUGCGUAGAUAUAUGGAGGAACACCGGUGGCGAAAGCGGCUCUCUGGCCUGUAACUGACACUGAGGCUCGAAAGCGUGGGUAGCAAACAGG
rnacentral:rRNA from 1 species